GGCGUCUUUCUUUUGCGGCGAUGUCGUCUUUCGUGGUGUCUCUUUUUUCCCUUUCUUUUGUGCCUGUCGUGGUCGUCGUGGUCGUCGUGGUCAAGGGUCUCCCUGUCGUCGUCCCUGCGUGCGUCAUCGUCCUGGCGUCGUCGCACAUGCACAUCUCGCGAGGCCAAGAGGCCGACACAGGGCGCGCAAAAAGCGUUGCCUUUUUCCUUUUCUUUUAUAUCUAUUUUAUAUUUCG
rnacentral:lncRNA from 1 species